AGUUCGUGGAAUAAUCUGUCUGCUUAAUUGCGUUUUUUCAAUUGAGCCUUGGCACCCAAUACGCCAGCUGUGUUAGUGUUGUUGGUUAGCUUUCAGCUUUGCUGUCUGCUGCCACAAUGUUGCCAGUUUGGUGGGUGAUCAGGGCCUUCUGAAACGAACGAGACCCCAACCCUUCUUUUUCAAUGUCAUACAACGAAUCUUUUCUGUUGUUUCUUUUAUUUUGAUUUUGGUAGUUGCUUUGGUGACUCCAAGUUGAAAUUUCACGACGUUGUUAACAGAAGGGGACUGUUACAUCCAAAUGUAAAGGAAGGUUGGGGCAAUAACAGGU
rnacentral:rRNA from 1 species